ACUCAAAUGAAUAGACGGGGGCCCGCACAAGCGGUGGAGCAUGUGGUUUAAUUCGAUGCUACGCGAAGAACCUUACCUAGGCUUGACAUCCCGCGCUAGCCCAUGAAAGUGGGUGUUCCCUUCGGGGACGCGGUGACAGGUGCUGCAUGGCUGUCGUCAGCUCGUGUUGUGAGAUGUUGGGUUAAGUCCCGCAACGAGCGCAACCCUCGUCACUAGUUGCCAUCAUUCAGUUGGGUACUCUAGUGAGACCGCUGGGCUAUAAGCCAGAGGAAGGUGGGGAUGACGUCAAGUCCUCAUGGCCUUUAUGUCUAGGGCUACACACGUGCUACAAUGGGAGGUACAAAACGCUGCCAGCUCGCGAGAGUUAGCUAAUCGUAAAAAACCUCUUUCAGUUCGGAUUGGAGUCUGCAACUCGACUCCAUGAAGCCGGAAUCGCUAGUAAUCGCGGAUCAGCACGCCGCGGUGAAUACGUUCCCGGGCCUUGUACACACCGCCCGU
rnacentral:rRNA from 1 species